AUUGAACGCUGGCGGCAGGCCUAACACAUGCAAGUCGAACGGUAACAGGAAACAGCUUGCUGUUUCGCUGACGAGUGGCGGACGGGUGAGUAUGUCUGGGAAACUGCCUGAUGGAGGGGGAUAACUACUGGAAACGGUAGCUAAUACCGCAUAACGUCGCAAGACCAAAGAGGGGGACCCUCGGGCCUCUUGCCAUCGGAUGUGCCCAGAUGGGAUUAGCUUGUUGGUGGGGUAACGGCUCACCAAGGCGACGAUCCCUAGCUGGUCUGAGAGGAUGACCAGCCACACUGGAACUGAGACACGGUCCAGACUCCUACGGGAGGCAGCAGUGGGGAAUAUUGCACAAUGGGCGCAAGCCUGAUGCAGCCAUGCCGCGUGUAUGAAGAAGGCCUUCGGGUUGUAAAGUACUUUCAGCGGGGAGGAAGGGAGUAAAGUUAAUACCUUUGCUCAUUGACGUUACCCGCAGAAGAAGCACCGGCUAACUCCGUG
rnacentral:rRNA from 1 species